GAUAUCCGACGACAGCCAGAAGUCACAGACCACCUGGCCUAAUGUCCAGCGUCCAGUGACCGUGUACAUGGUGCUGAUGGGCAUCACCAGGAUGGACACGAGCAGGACUUGGAGAGAAAGCACCAUCAGUGGAAAUCACAAACUCUAAGAAGGUAUGUGAAGAUGAAAUUCAGCCAAGUGUUAGGAUGCAUACCAUAGAGCCCCAAACUUAAGGGGUGGUGAUGGGGGUAAAGCCUUCAAUGAAGGCCUCAUUGAAACAGAGACAGAAGCCAAGAAUCUUGACAGUGCCACAUCUGAAAUGAAGAGCUUUGUUGAACAGCUGCAGAGGAAUUUCGUCCCUAUAAUGAAAUUCACAUACUGUAUAUUGACAAUGUAAGAAUUGGAAAAGAAUAGCAUUUUUAAAAAAAAGGAAACACAUGAAGCAGGAAUGAUCGUCAUGGUGUUAAAGACUUAGUUAUAAAACAAAUGCAAAAUAAAUGAAAUCCAGAGGAAGUUUUGACUGAACUCAUAAAGGAAUGGUGUUCUACAAAUCAAAAGAGACUUAACUCCUUUAAUGCCAGAAGAGUGUCAAACAAAGGUACGUGGACCAUUCAGCCUCUGGUUCUGGCACACAAGGCAAUGUCAAAGGUAGGCUCACUCUCAUGGCAUGAGUCUCAGGCUAGAUCAGUCACUGUUUGGCCACUCCAACAAUCUCUGUGCGACCCUUACCCCAGAAUAUCCUGUAGGCAGGACGAACUGUAAGUCAAAAGUUAUGUGGCUGGGCCAGUGUCCCAAUGUCUCCACUGGACGUCUUGCCUGGUCACAGGAGAUGACCAGUUCAGGUUACAUAUCCCUUUUGCUUGGAGUCUUAGUUGGGGCCAUUGUUGUAGAUUCCUUGGAGUUUCCCUUGCGCCAGGUUUUCACCUGACCCUGAAAUGACCGCCUUUCCAGUUGUCUCUUUUAGUUUUCUUCCUCCUACUCACCCACCUGAUCCCUCAUGUUCCCUUCUUCACCUGCCCCAAGUCCACCCACGAACUCUCUUCUACUUACUUUUCCUAGAGGAAAAAAUGACUUUUAUCCUGUUUUUAUACUGUAAAGGUUAUGCUCUGUCCAGUUCUUAGGAGGUUGUUCCUUCUGCUAACAGAUACCCUUAUUUUCUCCACUUAUAGGCUUGUGUUUUUCAUGUUGUUACUUAAUCUAUUAAAAUCUUAUCUUGGGGCUGGGAUGUAGCUAGAUAUCAGAGCAUAACUUUAGCAUCAAAUCUCAGUGCCAAAAAUAUGAAAAUAGUUUCUUUUCUCAGAGUGUAACCAAAUAAGUUUGUAUAUGAGAAUACCUAAUAUUACCACAUAUCCUUACACAAUACCAAACACAAAACAGAGAGCAUGUUCUCCAGAUAUCCAAUCUUAUCUUUUCUAAAACACACAAAUAUUUCAGACUGAUUUUAUGGGGUUCUCCAGUUACAAGUGUCUCAUGAGGCAUAGUCCACAAGUAGGAAACUGUCAUUAAAAAAUCUGCAUCACUCAUAGAGCUAGUAGUCACAAUGAAAAACAUAAGUAAUAGUCAAAUAUUGUAACAUUGUAUCAUCAGUUUUCCAUGAAUACAUUUUGCUCAACUUGAGAUAGAAGAUAUGUAAAACUACUGCUCUUAUUGGUAUUAGUAGGACUUCCAGGUAAUAAUUUGCCAUAUAAGUCAGGAAUGGCCAACUAAUUAGUUGGGAAGGGGGCUUGACUGGGGUCUGUGUCGCAGCACAAGGAAGACAUUCUCUGAGAGUGAUAGGAGCAUGAUAAAAUAUCCUCAGAAAAGCCAUGUGGAAAAAGCUCAGUUACCAGUUGUUGCAGCUUUCUUGGUAGUGAUGAGGUCAUGGGAUCUUUGUCUUCAUCAAUGUGGUCAUCUUUUGUUGGAGUCAUAAUUUGAUGCCAUUGCAUCAGAGAUUUGGGAGGUAGAACCUUGAAGGGCAUAUCUUGUCCAAGAGCCUCCAUUCUGUCUACUUUCCAGUUACCUGGAGGUGAACACUUCUCCCUGCCAUGUACUCCUCAUGGUGCUCAUCUCAUUUGAGGUUCAAGCAAUGGGACCGAGUGACCAUGGAGGAAAACCAAAACUGAAUCAAAACAAACCUUUACUUCUUCAAACAGUUUUAGGCAUUUGACUCUAAAGUGAAAAGUCAGGCUCUGAAUGCUAGACCCUUGUAGACACAAAUCAGCUGCCACUUACAGUCCUGAUAUUACGACUCAUGUCAUAUUACUUCUUGGUUUUUACCAGCUGGAGCUUGUGAUCUGCUCAUACCCAUUGGGUUCCUGCAGUACAGCUUUCUGAAGAUGGAAGAGGCACUCCUUCCUGCUGCACUGUGAUCAUAGGUGAUCAAUUCCAGCUGUAAUGUUACUUUAAUACAGGGACAAUCACAUACUGUCUACUGCAGUCAUACUGUACAUGCAGGUGAGAUAUAGAAAGCUUAACAGAGGGAUGGAUCGACAGCUCCAGAGUGUGAACAUGGAUAGAAACUUCUUUCGGUAGCAGUUGCUUCAGGUAGGAAAAUCAAGGAUUGCCCUCUCACACAAUUUAUAAGCCUACAGAGGUGUUCCCUGGUAGAAGGUUUCUAUACAAGGUACCAUUUCUAUGGUUAUCCAGCACUUGAAUGAUCCUAUAUAAGAAGAGAUGAUUUUUUUGAAAAGAUUCAGUAAACAAGUCCUUACAGAAUUUUGAAUUAUUGACAAGUACAAAAGUUCUAAGGGCAACUUGACCAAAGGAAUAUGUGAAUUGAGAUACAUUUUACUGCUUUCAGGGGUUGGGUUUAUCCCUUAAAAAGAGGGAAAUGUAGACACAGGAAACUUCUUCCCCUUUGCUUGAUUAUCUUCCAGACCUGUCUGGAUGGUGUUAGAAGUUAUAUUGCAAUUCAAUGGCGACAUUUCCAUAUCUCAGCUCAUACUAGGGCCAUGCCAUGUCAUUUAAAAUAAGAGUUUCUUUUUUGUUUGUUUUUUAGAGUGUCUAGGUCAAAAUAUCUCUAUAUUCAGGAUGCAGCCUAAGGGAGUAUAUAAUGAGACUGAAGUCUGACUUGUCAUCUCAGGAGACUGCGUUUCUACAUGCUCUGUUUCAUAGGCAAGCAAAAACAGUGGUACAAGGAAAUAUUGGACAUUUUCAUCUUCAUCUUCAAAGUUUGAGGAUCAAAAUUGUUCCAGUACACUCCUUUGAGUGCAUCCUGAAGAAAGUUGGAAAUCCAUCCAAAAAGACAAGGAAUUAUCAGUAUUUUCCAUUUAUUCUCUGAAUUUAGGCCAUUUCCCAAGCUUUUAUGGUAUAGGAUGAUCAAGUUGAUGCUUACCUUCCUUCUGCCUAAUUUGGAAUCCUUGCAUUUCCUCAAGAUUCCCACAGGAGAAGCUGAGUUCUAACCUAAAGUCUGACCUUAAUUGUAUCCAACUCAUUGACUUGUCUCCUAAGGUCUGUUGAUGUUCUAUUUUCUGUUAUCCUCAUAUCCAAAGAUUUCUUCUGAAUACAGACUCUCACUUUUCUUCUAGCUGUAUUGCCUCCUGCCUCCAUUUUAACCAUCAACUCUCUAGUUUACCUCUAGACUUACACACCAUCUCCAGGUUUCAGCCUCCACAAACCUUAUGUAAUGUACUUUGACCUUCUGUGACAUGAAUUUGCUUUCCAGUUCUGUCCUCAUCCUUCUUACUGUAUCUUAGUACAAAAAUCUCACUGUACAAAAUUUCAUCCUUCCCAGAAGUAUCUUACAGAUUUCUUAACACUUCCUUCUCCUUCUCAUUACCUCACUUUCAAUUUCUAUGUGUGUGCCUAUGUGUAUGUUUGUAUGUUUAUGCUUAUAUGUAUGUGUAUGCAGUCAAUCAGAGUUGUUUGUAUGUGGACAGUUCGACUUUGGGUAUCUUCAUUUAUUCCUAUAUCACUUCCUAUAUUACUUCCCAAGACAGUGUCUCUCAUUAACCCAGUGCUCAUUUGGUGAGGCUGAUUGGCUGAUUGGAUGCAAACCCUGUGUGUGCGCAGUCUCCCAUUCCUGAGCUGUGCUACCAACACCCAUUACACAUCUGGCUUUAUGUGUGUGUGUGUGUGUGUGUGUGUGUGUGUGUGUGUGUGUGUGUGUGUGUAUUUUGUGAGGUUAUAGUAUAAUUCCAUAAUUUCCUGGUUUCAUUUUCCUUCUUUUAAACUCUCCUAUGUACCCCCUUGUUUCUUUCAAAUUCACAUCCUUUUUUAUUUAAUUGUUGUUAUGUGUGGUGUGUGUGUGUGUCUACUGAGAGUCCACACUCAAGUCCAUAUGUUUGUAUAGCAAGCAUUUUACACACUAAUCAUCUCCAUGUCGCUUUUCAUUUUCUUCCCACAUAUACUGUCUUCUCAUCCAUUAUUCUCUUCCCCUUCCACCAAUGUGAUCCUCAUGAAAAUCUAUAACCAAUCUGGUAUUUCUUGUGUUUCUUACUUUCUUCUACUCAGUCACUUCUAUGCAAUGAAAGGGGCUCCUUUAAAGAAAGGUCCCGGUGCCCAUUGGUGUAGCCUCCAAUCAACCAUUCUUCCUAUGCACAGCUCUCCUUUAUUUAACUUUUUUUUUCUACUGCCCUUCUUUCCCAGAACUGGAGGUAAUCAACUCUUGAGUUUCACAUGCCAGAGUAAAGGUAGUGUGACCCUGCAACUGGAACCAGAUCUCCGGGAGAAGCCCAGAAACAUUAUGGUGGCAAGAUUCUAGCCAAGAGCUGGUCUGCAAAAAUGAAAUGGAAAUAGCAGAAAAGGCAGGAAUGGAGGAUUUUGUCCCUGAGACACAGAGAGCAGUUUCUUAGAGCAGGAUGAUUGAUUCGGUGAGUUUGACUUUAAUGAGCAGGAACAGAUCUUCUAUGUAAGGACUAGGCUCCCUGGAGCACUGGCCUUAGAGCUGGACUCUGGCCAAGAUCCAGAGCAACUCAAUUAAAGGCUGUGCCCAGGGGUUUUUAUAGACCCAUGAGGGUUCUGAUUGCUUGGACAUAUGCAAACAGGGUUAAGAUUAACUAUUAAUAAGCAGAGAGCCUCCAAACACAAGCAAAUUAUAGAUCAGGGUCUCUGUUUCAUUGGUUCCCACCCACCUCAUGUAGUAUUAAAAGCAGGAGAAAGGAAAACAAGAAAGGUAAGGUAGGUCCCCCUCACAAUUUUCCAUUCUCAUUCCCAGAUGUUAGCUCCAAACACAGACAGAUGUCCCUCCUGCUCCUAUCGUUCCCUACCAUGGAAACUUCUAGCAGUCUCUAUAGUAUGAAUUUUAUCAACAGAGAACUCAUCUAAAUUUAGUUCAAUCUGUUACUUUUAAGUUUUCAACUUACUUUACUGGUGUGUAGCAUAUGAUAUAGAUAAUGUACAGAACUAUAUUUCAGCAGCAAUUCUCCUUAGCAAAAACGAGAAUAGAAAUGUAGUUAUGUUCAAAAUUAAACAAAGAAGUAUAAAAUUGCCCUGAAAAACAAUAUUGUAAAUAUUUAAAUGAGUUUUCUUUUUAAAAUAAUGAAGAAUUAACCACAGAACCUGCUUGAACUUGAAUUUAAAUAGUCAAUAAUUGGUAUGUUUCAUAUAGAGUAACCAGAAGUUAGUUUUUCAGAUUUACUUCUUCUGAGUUUAACUCAGAAGCAUUUUUAUUACCACAUACAUUAAAUAUUUUCUACUGAAUAGUACAUUAAGAUAAUAGCAUGUUUGCAUGAAUCAAAACCUUGUGUUAAUAGUAAAAUGUGCUUACUUCAUGGCAAAAUAUUCUGAAAUUAAUAUAUCCCCAAAUUUGAUGAUUACUAAUCUUUACCUGGACAUGAUAAAUAAAAUAAAAUUAAACAUUUAGUGUCAUGGAACUAAACUCGUCAAUUAUGAAAUAUACCUUUACUUCUACAAAUUAGUUUCAAAAUUAAUUGGUCAUCAGUUAAUUGCAGUAGUUAAUGUAAGAAGCUGGGUUUGCCUUGUUGUUUAAGAAAAGCACAACAAUUUUCUUAGGAUUGCUUAUAAUUUUAGAUGCAGCAAAAACAUUCCUGGCCCCCAAUACAAAUGACUUGUAGAGAUGAAAACAGUUUGAUCAGUUCCAUAUCUUUAACUUUCCUAUUGUUUGUCCUAUGUACUACUUAAUCCUGCCCUUACAAUUACCUACUGGAUAGCCAUUACUCCUGACUGUAUGGCAGAACUUCAUGGUAAACCUUAUUGUUGAAGACAGCACACUUGAGCCACAGUACAUGAACAAAUCAAGCUGGAACUACAUGGAAGCUUCCUCCUUACCAGCUAGCUUUCAUAGUACCAGAGAGUGCUACACAGCAUUCUAGGGUAGAACAGUCUUAUGCAGCCAUGAACUCUGAAAGCCACAAUAAUGACUGAUCUGGCAAGAUGUGCCCUUUUGUGAAAUAGUGGCACGAAUGUUAGGGGGAUAACCAAUCACUCUCUGUGUGGAUUUAAGGUCUGCUCCCCAACGUGACACUCAUGCUCACUACUGUCAAACUGACCAAGAACCCAUGGGCAGGAUGGUGAUAAGCUUUAGGUGAGAACUUACAACUAUUAUGUCGCUCAAUAGACAGUAUCGCACUGCAUUAUGAGUACUUAUUUUUACACCCAUGUAUUAGUGCACCCGCCCCACCUCAUCAGAGAAGCUUCUCUGUGUAGUGGAUAGACAGUGGUGACUACAGAGGCUCCCAGCAGGUCAAAGUGCUGAAAGUCAUACAAGGUGCUGAGCCCUCAUGUAGCAACUGUGAAUGUUACCUCCCCACAGGGCUCACAGGUUGAUAUUGCAGAAGAGGAAGGGGAAAGUUCACAGGUGCCAGUGGUUAAGAAGGAUUUCUGUGAAAUAGUGUCUUCUAGACAUUCUGGGGCCACGACAUUCAUGAAUUCACAGUACCUGUGGCUGUCUACCCAAGACCUGCACGAAUAAACCAAUUAGAAUUUCAACAUGGUUGAGGAGGGGGACCCAGGCUUUACCCCUAGCAGAGGAAGUACUGGCGGUUGACAACUACUGGGGAGGGAGAGUCACUUUUCUUCAGAAGCACAGCUCCUAAUUGUUCAAUUAUGUUCUGCAGAUGGCCUUAUAUUCAUGCACAUAUAAGAGGCACUAAUUAGGCAUUUUGUUUAAAGAACAUGAAGAUGGUACAAUAAUACAGUUUGUGGAGGAACCUGAAAAGCUUUAACUGGGAAGGAGGGAAUAAAUAUGAAUGAAAUCCACCGUUUAUAUGUAAGAAAUUAUCAAAGAAUAAAUAAAAAUAGUUUCAAAACAAUUUAUCUACUGGCCAACCAUACACACACACACACACACACACACACACACACACACACACACAUACAUACAGUGUAUAUACAUGUACACACACAUACACACACACAUAUGUGUGUAUGUGUGUAUUUUUGAACAUAUUUUUUUCCCAAGAAUUGUGAUCAAUAACUGUAAACAGAGAUGGAGUUUGCCUGGUCCCAAAUAAACACACAAAAGCUUACAUUAAUUACAAAAUGCUUGGCCAAUAGCUCAGGCUUAUUAUUAACUAUCUCUUACUUUUAAAUUAACCCAUUUCUAUUACUCUAUGUAUUGUCACAUGGCCUGUGGCUUUACCGGUCCUCUGACAUUUUGAUUCCUGCUUCUUGGGCAGCUCAGUCGCAUCUCUCCCAACUCUAUCCUUCUUCAUCCCAGUCCUCAGUAUGAUUGUACCACCUAACUUUACCACCUAACAGCUUUAUUGUUAACCAAUGAGAGUAAUAUAUAUUCACAGGAUCAUCCCACAGCAAAUAACCCUCUGUCCUAAAAUAUUGUUAUUGAUGAAUCCUAGUUAGUUUCAGUCCUCAAGAAGAAUUCUCACUAUAUCACUUAAGUCAGUACCUAUAUUUUCUGUUCAUGUCUCUUUUUCCUUCUUCCUUGUUAGUGAACUCCCCCUCAAAAAAGUGCUGAGUUUUUCUUAGAUAUAGUUUCCAAAACUUGGAACAUUUCAUUGAGAAGAAAACUCAAAAAGAAACAUGAGUGUCCUUCAUGUUAAGUCUGGAAAUUGAGUGGUAACCAUAUGGUUGAAAUUUGUUUCCUAGGGUUCUGAGAGCAGUGAAACUUGUGAUAUUUAGUGGGUCAUUUGAAUGCAUGUUAUACAAAGUUCCUAAAUUGUAAUUGUAAUUGUAAUUUGCAAUCAAAACAGUUGGUGGCACCUUUGAAGCAAUUUUUUUUUGUUUAUGACAGUGCCUAAGCUGCCUGUAAAUCACUGGACAAACAUAUUACUGUACUAACGGUUUAGAUGUACACUGCUUUGAGCAAAACUUCUGGAUGCUUAGGUGAUCAAUCCUCUUUAAACAUAACUAUUAUUUACUUCUUAUAACCUUAAAAAGGAAAAGGAAAGAAUGAUUAUGAAUAAUUAAAUUAAAGAAUAAGAAUGAAUAAUUAUGCUGCAAACAAUAGUCCAUAUUACCCAAAUAUUUUUUUAAGCCUUGCCUUAGUAAAAAUCAGUUCUCUUAAUAAAACAAAACAGCAAUUCCUACAAAAACACAGGAUCAGGCUGAGAAGACACAACACGACAGUGUGGGACAGGGCAAGGAUACUACUAACUCCUCCUUAAAUUUCCCAAGUCUGCUUUAUGGCCAAUGUUUCUGACAAAGGAAAGUUCUUCUUUGGGUUAAAAUAUUGCAGACUUGGUGUAAUCUCUUACAGGACAAAUGUCCUUGAGAAGUUGAAGCACUGAGGUUCCUUCACUAUUAGCACCAAUAAGAAAGGGACUUAAGCUGAGCUAGAAUACAACCAGUGAGUAUGGAAAGGGAAUUUAGUAGAAGAUUUUAUAGUUCUUCUUAGGGCUACUGAAGGUAUAAUUAGCCACAAUUCUUCACUGAACAUGAAACCAAAUGAGCCGUCUAUGCAGUAUCACAUGUGUAGUAGAGACUUGUUAAAGAUGGUUCAGUGGGGAAAGCACUUGCCAUGUAAACUCAAAAGCCUGAAUUUGAUCCCAAAUCCCACGGUGGAAGAAAACCUAUUCUUGAAAGCUGUUCUCUUACCUGUACCAUAUUCUCUCUCUCUCUCUCUCUCUCUCU